AACGCGAAGAACCUUACCUGGGCUUGAACCGCUACUGACCAAGGGUAGAAAUAUCCUCUUCCCGCAAGGGACAGUAGUAGAGGUGCUGCAUGGCUGUCGUCAGCUCGUGCCGUGAGGUGUUGGGUUAAGUCCCGCAACGAGCGCAACCCUUACUCGUAGUUGCCACCCGCAAGGGGGAACUCUACGAGGACUGCUCCGGAUAACGGAGAGGAAGGUGGGGAUGACGUCAAGUCAGCACGGCCUUUAUGUCCAGGGCUACACACGUGUUACAAUGCGCGCUACAGAGCGUUGCAAACCCGCGAGGGGGAGCUAAUCGCACAAAAGCGCGCUCAGUUCGGAUUGCAGUCUGCAACUCGACUGCAUGAAGCCGGAAUCGCUAGUAAUGGCGCAUCAGAACGGCGCCGUGAAUACGUUCCCGGGCCUUGUACACACCGCAUAC
rnacentral:rRNA from 1 species